ACUCAAAUGAAUUGACGGGGACCCGCACAAGCGGUGGAGCAUGUGGAUUAAUUCGAUACUAACCGAAGAACCUUACCCAGACUUGACAUCGAUGGUAAGCCAAUGAAAGUUGGCCCUCCCUCUCAAGGGGACCAGAAGACACUUGUUGCAUGGCUGUCGUCAGCUCGUGCCGUGAGGUGUACGGUUAAGUCCGCCAACGAGCGCAACCCUCGUCCUGUGUUACCAGCAUGAAAGAUGGGAACUCACAGGAGACCGCCGGUGUAAGCCGGAGGAAGGUGGGGAUGACGUCAAGUCAGCAUGGCAGUUACGUCUGGGGCUUCACACAUGCUACAAUGGGCGCAACAGAGGGCCGCGAUACCGCGAGGUGGAGCUAAUCCCAAAAAUACGCCCCCAGUUCAGAUUGCAGUCUGCAACUCGACUGCAUGAAGGCGGAAUCGCUAGUAAACGCAGGUCAGCUAUACUGCGUUGAAUACGUUCCCGGGUCUUGUACACACCGCCCGU
rnacentral:rRNA from 1 species